rnacentral:tRNA from 1 species
GGGUCAUGGCUCAGUGGUAGAGCAUUUGCUUGGCAUGAAGAAGGUCUCCGGUUCAAUCCUGGGAAUAUCCA